UCCGUAGCUUGGAGGAAAGAAGCGCCCGUCUAACGAAGUGGGAGUCGUGGGUUCGAUUCCCACCGGA
rnacentral:tRNA from 1 species